GACGAACGCUGGCGGCGUGCUUAACACAUGCAAGUCGAACGGAAAGGACCUGCUUUUGUGGGGUGCUCAAGUGGCGAACGGGUGAGUAUCACGUGUGUAUCCUCCCCUUGACUUUGGGAUAACUUCAGGAAACUCGGUCUAUUACCGGAUAUGAGCACCUGCUGCAUGGUGCGGUUUGUAAAGUGUCGUCGGUUGGGGAUGGACUCGCGGCUCUGCGGCUUGUUGGUGGGGUUGUGGCUUACCAAGGCGUGGACGGGUAGCCGGCCUGCGAGGGUGACCGGCCACAGUGGGACUGAGGUACGGGCCAGACGGCUACGGGGGGCAGCAGGGGAGAAUAUUGCAAGAUGGGCGGAAGGCGGAUGCAGCAACGCCGCGUGGUGGAUGACGGCUGUCGGGUUGGAAACCGUGUGCGCCUGUGACGAAGCGUGAGUGACGGUAAUGGGUAAAGAAGCACCGGCUAACUACGUG
rnacentral:rRNA from 1 species